rnacentral:lncRNA from 1 species
UAUAUCUCAAGAGUUAUUUGGAAGAGGAUUUUCAAAUUUUCACCACCAGAUUAAAAAAACUCUAGCUAUUAAUUUUAAAUUUUUAUUUCACUGUGUUGAGAAUGUGUUUUACUUUGGAAUUUGUAGAAAUCGUCAUUGUGCCUGAAUAUCAUGAUCAUAAUUUAAAUGUUCCAUGGGAUUAUUCUUUUCAUGAAUGCAAGGUUUUGACAGCUCCAAAUACCCGCGAAUACUUCCAAUCCAGGGGUCUUCCCCCGUGCUGGGCACUCCCACGCGCCAUCUCAUCAUCAUCACAGCUAUGCUACAUGGGUGGGACUCAGAUGCCCCCAUUUUCCAGAUAAGGAAACUGACACCUGCGCAGGUGGCCAGAGCCCAGCCUCCCUCCCUCGCCUGAGCUCCUGCUUGUGCCAAGUCCUGAGGAAGAUGCUGGACCAGCACAUAGUCUGAUGGGGGAAACAGGGUCACGGGUGGGCUGCCUCCACAGUCAGCCUUCUCCUACACUCAGAGAACACAGCGGAGUGAGUGCCCAGCCCUCCUGUGGGACCCUCAGCAGCUGCUCUGUGCUGGCCCUUCUGCUGAGUGCUGUGAGGGUCUCUGAGGUGGCCUGGUGAUGAGUCUGGAUUUCUACAAGUCACAGAAACCUGACCAUGAUGGCUUAAACACAGACAGUCUUGCAGGAGGUGGUUCAAGCUGUGGCAGCCUCUUGAGAUGUCCUUCCGAUUUUCUGCUCCACUAUCCUCAGCAUGUGGAUUUCAUCCUUACGGCACAAAAUGGCUGCUUCACCUGCAGGAGACUCCGAAUUCCAUUUCACUGGCCAGCAAUGGGUCAAGUGGUCCAGCUAGCCGAAGAGGAGUCUGGGAGCGGCAGUGUCCUUUGCAUCGGAGCCCCUCCGUGGCCCCUGGAGCCAGAGAGGCUGGACGUGUCCACUUUCGCCCCAGCGCCAGGUGCUUUUCCCAUCUUCUCCUAGCCACGCCGAGAGAGGCAGUGCCAGCACGGCCCUUUCCACAGAGGGGGAAACAAGAGGCUCAGUCGCUUUCCCAAGCCGGUGGCUCUGGGAUGUGGCACAGAGAAGCCGAGGUGCCUCCUGGGGCGGUUGUUUAUCGAGCCCUCAUGAUGUGCCAGGCACCGCCUGGACGCCACAGCAAACUCUCUGCCCUCAAGGGGCCCACAUUCCCAGAUGAGACAGGAGCCGGGCAUUAACCCAACCGAGACGGCAUGGAAGAGGAGCUGACAGGGCUCAGCGUGGUGCAGUGACCCACCCAUGUCGACACAGGGAGGAGCAGGAGAGGCAAGAUGUCCACUGAAUUCCUGCAAAGACAUGGCUUGCUCCAGGACGUGGGGGCCUCUGUCCUCACGGUGCCCCCGUCUGGGAGGGCUGACCUCCAAAGCGGUCACCUGUGAUGCCCAUAGCAGUGGGCUCUUUCCAAGGUCAGGAAAGGGCAGGUGGCGCUGUCGGGGGGCCGGGCCUCUCCGGGAAGAGCCUGGUGCCAGACAUGGG